AUCGCUUCUCGGCCUUUUGGCUAAGAUCAAGUGUAGUAAGAAAAAAGUAUCUCCUUUGAACCGUAUUAUCCAUUACAAUUUCAGUUUGGUGGCCUUUUCCUGUUGGUAAAAUUUUCAAAAUGCAUUGUGGGAUAAAAAUCCUUUCUGCUUAAGUACACAGCAUUUAGGAGUGGGUGGUAUGGCA